CGUAACUAUAACGGUCCUAAGGUAGCGAAAUUCCUUGUCGGGUAAGUUCCGACCUGCACGAAUGGCGUAACGAUGGCCACACUGUCUCCACCCGAGACUCAGUGAAAUUGAAAUCGCUGUUAAGAUGCAGUGUACCCGCGGCUAGACGGAAAGACCCCGUGAACCUUUACUAUAGCUUCACACUGGACUCUGACCUUAUUUGUGUAGGAUAGCUGGGAGGCUUUGAAGCGGUGGCGCCAGCCAUCGUGGAGCCGUCCUUGAAAUACCAGCCUGGUAAUGUUGGGGUUCUAACCCAGGUCCCUUAUCGGGAUCGGGGACAGUGUGUGGUGGGUAGUUUGACUGGGGCGGUCUCCUCCCAAAGAGUAACGGAGGAGCACGAAGGUGCGCUAAUCACGGUCGGAAAUCGUGAGGUUAGUGUAAAGGCACAAGCGCGCUUGACUGCGAGUCUGACAAGACGAGCAGGUACGAAAGUAGGUCUUAGUGAUCCGGUGGUUCUGAAUGGAAGGGCCAUCGCUCAACGGAUAAAAGGUACUCCGGGGAUAACAGGCUGAUACCGCCCAAGAGUUCACAUCGACGGCGGUGUUUGGCACCUCGAUGUCGGCUCAUCACAUCCUGGGGCUGAAGCCGGUCCCAAGGGUAUGGCUGUUCGCCAUUUAAAGUGGUACGCGAGCUGGGUUUAGAACGUCGUGAGACAGUUCGGUCCCUAUCUGCCGUGGGCGUUGGAGAAUUGAGGGAAGCUGCUCCUAGUACGAGAGGACCGGAGUGGACGAACCUCUGGUGUUCGGGUUGUCACGCCAGUGGCAUUGCCCGGUAGCUACGUUCGGACAGGAUAACCGCUGAAAGCAUCUAAGCGGGAAGCCCCUCCCAAGAUAAGUUCUCCCUGACCCCUUGAGGGUCCUGAAGGGCCGUCCGAGACCAGGACGUUGAUAGGCUGGGUGUGUAAGCGUUGUAAGGCGUUGAGCUAACCAGUACUAAUUGCCCGUGAGGCUUGACC
rnacentral:rRNA from 1 species